rnacentral:misc_RNA from 1 species
UUUCCGUAGGUGAACCUGCGGAAGGAUCAUUAUCGAAAUACUUAUUUAGCGUUCCGUGCUAUCCCUUUGUUUUAUUUACCCUGUUGCUUCCACUGGAUGAGUUUCCAUACCUUGUGUUUGAGAAACUUUGGCUUGUGUAAGAUUCAUUCACGGCCAGCCAGUGAGAAGACCAUUUACAAAACCCUGUUAAGAACCAAUUGUCUGAAUAUUUUACUCCAAUGAAAUAAAACUCUCAACAACGGAUCUCUAGGCUCUU